rnacentral:rRNA from 1 species
CCUACGGGUGGCUGCAGUCGGGAAUAUUGCGCAAUGGAGGAAACUCUGACGCAGUGACGCCGCGUGCAGGAAGAAGGCUUUCUGAUUGUAAACUUCUUUUGACAGGGGAGAAAAAAGACAGUAGCUGUAGAAUAAGCUUCGGCUAACUACGUGCCAGCAGCCGCGGUAAUACGUAGGGAGCAAGCGUUAUCCGGAUUUAUUGGGUGUAAAGGGUGCGUAGACGGUGAAGCAAGUUAGUUGUGAAAUCCCUCGGCUUAACUGAAGAACUGCAACUAAAACUACUUCCCUUGAGUACUGGAGAGGAAAGUGGAAUUCCUAGUGUAGCGGUGAAAUGCGUAGAUAUUAGGAGGAACCCCAGUGGCGAAGGCGACUUUCUGAACAGUAACUGACAUUGAGGCACGAAAGUGUGGGGAGCAAACAGGAUUAGAUACCCUAGUAGUC